rnacentral:rRNA from 1 species
UGGACGAACCUCUGGUGUACCGGUUGUCACGCCAGUGGCAUCGCCGGGUAGCUAUGUUCGGAAGAGAUAACCGCUGAAAGCAUCUAAGCGGGAAACUCGCCUUAAGAUGAGACUUCCCUGGGAACUCGAUUCCCCUUAAGGGUCGUUCAAGACCAGGACGUUGAUAGGUCAGGUGUGGAAGCGCAGUAAUGCGUUAAGCUAACUGAUACUAAUUGCCCGUGAGGCUUGAUCCUAUAAC